rnacentral:rRNA from 1 species
CGGGAACUCUGUGACAGGUGUGCAUGGCUGUCGUCACUCGUGUCGUGAGAUGUUGGGUUAAGUCCCGUAACGAGCGCAACCCCUAUCCUUAUUUGCCAGCACAUAUGGUGGGAACUAUAAGGAGACUGCCGGUGAUAAACCGGAGGAAGGGGGGACGACGUCAAGUCAUCAUGGCCCUUACGGGAUGGGCUACACACGUGCUACAAUGGCAGGUACAGAGGGCAGCAAUACCGCGAGGUGGAGCGAAUCCCACAAAGCUUGUCGUAGUCCGGAUUGGAGUCUGCAACUCGACUCCAUGAAGUCGGAAUCGCUGUAAUCGUAGAUCAGAAUGCACGGUGAAUACGUUCCCGGGCCUUGUACACACCGCCC